ACCAGCACCCCUGAGGCCUUCUCAGCAGAGCUGCUUCUCAGUCAGUCUGUUUCCAGCCUGCGGUGUUUCAAUGGGCUCUUGCUUCUUGGGGACAGGACUUUGCAUUUGUCCUUACUGAAUUUCACAAGGAUUGACUAGUGCUGCUUCCAUGCUGAGAUGUUUUGAAGCUCAUGACAACUGCUGUGGAGGAGCUAGAUGCAGCUAAAAUCCCCACCAAGCAUGAGAAGAGUGAAAGAUCUACUUCAGUAAAAUAUUCAAGAAGUGUUUUGUGAAUGCACGAAAUGGAUCCCUGUGGAGAUGGAGAAUGAGAUGAAGAGAAAUCAGAAAGACUGAUUAUGCUGAAACCAGUGCUACAAAAGAGGAUGCUUGAAAGGACAAGUGUGUUUCUCAGCCACUUGUCCUUCAAACAACAUGAUUGUCCUUGUAUGUAUCUGCUUCAUCCAGUUUAUCAGCAUCUCUCUUGAUAAACAUGUAUUUCCACAGUCAUUCAGUGAGUCAACAUGUUUGGAAACAAAACGCAGCAUUCCUUCUUGUUCAAAUGAAACAAAGAUUCAGGAAUUACUUACUAUACCUGACUUUUGUGUCUCAUCCAAAUUGAAGAUGCUAAGCACUCCUGGCACUGAAAACAAACAAAAAUCUGCACAGUUAAGGCAGAGAGUGGGAAUUGAAACUGGAAAAUCUGGAUGGUGAGAAAAUUAACAGGAACAACAAAAUGUAUUAGAUCAUGAUAAAAUUAUUUGUCUCACAGCCAUAAACAAUGUAAAGGGGAUUUAAUAAUUGUUUUGUCAAGAAGACCUUGUUGUAGACAAAGACUCAUGCAAUAACUGUUGUAAAGGUACACCACAAAACAAGAAAGCAUUCUCUGACUGCAGCAGAGUUACAAAUGUACAUGUAAAUGCGUAUGCAAUCCGAGAAACUGAUUGCAACUAUCAAUAGGGAUUUCUGUGAACAUCUGAUCACACGUGCAGUGUAACAAAUACAUUGGGCACAGAUAGUAAGUAGAGAGUCCAAACUCUAACUCAUAGAAUGAAAAACUCAUCUUGUCACCAAAAGAUAGGUUUAAUUUUUUUCCUUAUUUCCUUGUUUCCUUUUUUUUUUUUUUUUUUUUUUUUUUUUUUUAGAAGUGAAGCCAAACAGUUUCAGGAGGAGCAGAACUAACAUAUCCAGAUUUCAUAUGGAUUUUUUUCAUAUGGAUCCCAUCCCUUAUGUUUUCUUCCUUGUCUCCACUGCUACCCUGUAUGUUUUGCUGAGUUAAAACAGCAGCACAUAUGUAUAGUUAGAAAAUAAUCAUAAUGUGCUGACUUACUGGCUGAGUGUUACCACUUGAUUACAUAAGAGCCCGAGUUAUAAGUUUUUAUUUAAUGAUCUACUCAGCCAAGUAUUAAUACAACUUGUAAGAAUUUAAUUUAAGGCAAUCCCUUGUGUCAGACUCAAUUGAAUAUGGUUAAUAUAUUUAAAAGUUGGAGGGGAGAACAGUGCUGCACCAGAAAGUCAAUCUGACUGAGGCAACAGAGCAUCUUACAAGCACCACAGGGAAGUGUACUCUUCCUCAUUAAAACUGCAGCAUAAGGUCUCUGAGGAAUGGGAUAUUCUGUUAUGUUUCAUUGCUGGGUAGCAGAGGAGUGGUCUGACAAAAUGGCGUCUUACAUGGAAGUUUGUAUAAAGCAAAGGUGUGUCACUGAAUUCCUUUGUGUGGAAAAAAUGGCACCUCCUGACAUUCAUCAACACUUGCUGAAGGUUUAUGGAGACCUAACAGUGGAUGUGAGCACAGUGAAGUGGUGUGUUUCAGCAGUGUUGACAGUGAUGCGAAAGAACAGCUCAUUCAGCUAUAGGCUAGAUCACUUAAGCUCUCUUGGGCUUCACGAUUGAAAUGUAUGUAUUCUUGUAAUAGAGAAUAGAUUGGAAAACCAGAGUAACCUCCAGUUUAUAAUGGUUUGUGCAUUCUUUGUAAUUGUGGAUUUGAAACAAAAAACUGUGCUCCCCUCAAUCCUCCCCAGCUAAAGAGCUUCUCUGUAAGAAAUAGUGUAUAUGCUCUAAGUCUGUUUUCAUAACAGAUUUGAAUCUCUUAUGUUUCUAUAAUAUUCAGUUUAUUCAAAUUAUCCUUCAUUUGAAUAAUGCUUUAUAAUUUGUUGUAGAUGUAACGCAAGCUGCCUAUGAAAAUUUCAAACUAACUUUGUUUUUCAGAGUCACUCUUUGACUUUUUUUGUUCUUUUUUUUUUAAAUUAUUUUUCUUAAUACAUCUUAUUCUGAUUUUCUUGGCUUAGUUUUUAUUUCUUUGUUUUCUGUUGUUACAAUUUAAGCAUUUUGUCCAGUCUUUGUGAAAGCAGUGUAAUCAAUUCAGUAUAGCAUUAAAAUAAUUCAGUGUAUAAUUAACUUCAGGUUUUUCAAUACUUUCUUUUGAUAUGAUGUACAAAGUUAUUUCCCUUAUGAAUUUCAAUAAGUUAAAGCUCUUCAGUGCUUAAUGAAACAUUAAAGAAAAAAUGGUGUAUCACACUAGCAGUAUUUUCUACCAUCUCCAUCUUUAAAACAAGUGGCAAAUCCAUGCAUGUAACUUCUGCAUUUCCUAACUAUGUUUAUGGAGUAUAAGGAAUAAAUACAAACACCAUCUAACUGCUUUAAUGUUUACUAGUUGAUGGUUGUUCCUUGAAUAAAUAUUGAGCAGUACUAUUCAUUCAAUAAUAAAUAUUCAAAAUAUUGAGCAGUAUUCUUUCUUAGAAUUUUAUUAAUUUCCUUUUAAAUACCCAUAUUCUUUUAAAUUUUAAUGCCCAGAAUCAUAGAACCAUAGAAUGUCCUAGACUGAAAGGGACCCAUAAGGAUCAUAGUCCAGCUCCUCCUGUUUCAUAUCAUUUUAAAAAGGCAAGAUAUUAAAAUUACAUUCACCACAUGCUCAGUGUGUUCUCCGGUUGUUUAUCUGUUUUCCUUCUUAAAUAUCCAGUUUCUGGAUUUAAAACAAAACAAAACCCAAAUCUACAGGUGUUAUAAACAAAACAAGAAGUAGAUUAAAACAUGAGUUAUUUGAAGUGUGUGAAUAACUUCAGUUGUGGUUUUUUGUGAUAUGAGAUAUGUAAAGGACCUUUCCUUACUUUCCAUAACCCCAUAAUGUUUCAAGGGUGCAGGAAUGUCAGAAAGUAGCAAAAAGGAGGAACGAAAUGCAGAACUCAGCUUACAAGAAGGCAGGUGGCUUAUAUUAAUUGCUUUGCUGGAAAGAUUUUGAAUGUCCUUCCUACAUAGCAUAAUUCUUGUAAAACCUUAUUUUUUGCAUCUUGUGUCUUCUUCCUGAGACGUUUUCCUCAGUGCUCUAGCACAACUCAAGUCAUGGAUGUUUUUCACAUUAAAAAAAAAAAUCUAUAAGUUAAAAAAGAAAAAAGAAAAAAAGAAAAAAAAGUAGAAUGUGAGAAAGUACACAGUAGAUGGAGAAUAUUUUCAAUUCAAGUUGAUAUGAACUCCAAAAAUUCCAAUGCAACUUCUGAAAUUCCCUGGAAAAACUGUUCUUUCAUGCUUCCCCUCCUUUUUUUUUUUUUUUUUUUUUUUAAUUUUAUUCUUGCAUUGUCUUGUAAAUCCAAGCUUCUUCUAUACAGCUACAUUUGAUAAGAGAGUAGGUCCAUUCUUUUGGCACAGGAGAAGAUUAAUUUUUUCAUUGCCUAAGGCGAGACUCCUGCCUUCAGUUUUAAUCCUUCAUAAUCCCCUCACCACCUCUGUGCAAAAGUGCACAGAAUAAUUUAGAUAUGUUUUCAGGCUCAGAAAGGCUGAAAGUAGAUUUGGGAUUUAAUUUAAUUUUUCCUCACAACUUUGUUCUGAAAGCACAAAUCAUAAUUAAUUGACUUGUGUGAGCAAACUUGGCACCAAACGGUUAGCAAGGACAAUCCUUUCUACAAAAGCUAGGAGUUAAAAAAGUGUAAACUACAAAAUAAUACAAGGCUCAUGAUUUUUGAACAUGGUUAACAAUGGUUGAAUUUUGUUUUACUGAACUCCACAAAAAUUGCACCAUUGACUGGUAGGAAAGUUAGGCUAAAAUAACAUCCAAGCAGCACUAGAUUCUUCAUGAGAUCUUGUUUUAGUUGUGGCAGGGAUAUCCUUGUUUUAGCCAAAGGUAAAAGAUAAGUAAGAUCUUGUACACACUAUCAACUUUUUAUUUAAGGUUUUGAUCUUAGAUUUCUUACUAGGUGUAUUUGUGAAAGACACUUAUGUGUCUAGAGUGAAAUGCAGCGUUUGGCUUGGUGGCUACCAUGGAAAGGUGCACCAUCGUGAACAAAGCGAGAGAGUAGUCAUGAAGUACCUUAAAGGAGGAAUGAGAUUGCAGAGGAUAUAACUAAAGAUCAAGUUAUCAUAUAUCAUAUAUAUCAUGCCUCUGGAAACCGAAGAUGAGAAGAUAACCUGGAGUGCACAGUCCAGAAGAAUUAUGGUAGGUUCACUCAUGAGUGAAUCAGUAGAGAAUACACCUAGAAGAUGACUUCUUAUACCAGUAUUUUGAAUGAACCCUAAGAAAAGGAGAUUAAAGCAGACAGCAUGCAAAGAAUAAGUAGUUAGUAAGAAUGAGAUUAAUUUUGAACUGUUUUCUGUCAAAAGUUGCACAUCUAAUUUAGUUUUCCUGGCUCCCUCAAUGUGCAGUGCAGCUCUCUGGAGUAAUUCAUCCUAUGUUUUUUAAACACCUCUUUUAAAAUGGAGUCUUUUGUCCUUUGGAAGCGCCUGUUCCUCUUUCUCCACAAAGAAGGAAACUUCAGUGGUGAUCAUAAAUGAUCUUCUUAGCCUGUGGGCAGCUGGAAAUAGGAAUUUCUCAUCCUAUAGAAGAUACAUGAACUGAAGGAGUUCCCCUGCCUCCACCCUCCCCCCCAGAAAAGAAAAGAAAAGAAAAGAAAAGAAAAGAAAAGAAAAGAAAAGAAAAGAAAAGAAAAGAAAGAAAAGAAAAAAAAAACAGAGAUGAGACUAUUUGUGAGAUUAGUGACUUUGCAAAAAAAUAAAAAAAUAAAAAAAUAAAAAAAAACCACUGAGUUUGACGUUAUCCAACACAUAUUUUCCUGCUCAUACAAGCAUCAGUUUUUUCUGGCAGAAGGUGAAGUUUAAAUUGUAACCCCCAAGAGAGAGCCAUCUGCAGCAUAACCAGCAGCAAACUGCUUCCACUGGUGCUUCAUUGGCAUCUGGAAGGAUUAGGCAUCCUUGCUUCAGUUAGCUAGAAUUCAAGAACUAAUCUUUAUGUAUUUUUAAGUAGCUAAGAUCUUGCUGGUGUUCCUGAGAGAUUUUGUCAGUGGAAACGACUAUUUACUGAUUUCAUGCAAAUCACCUGACUCUAAGAUGCUCUCUCAAAGCAAAUCCCUAGAGACCAUAGAAAUUGAAAGUAAUACACAUAAUUCUCAGUUUUUAUGCAAUUCAGUGUACUUUUUCCUAUGAAUUAUGAAAACGGAACUGUAACUAAAGCUUAGAUAAGUACAAAUAUGGUUAGUGAAACAAGUUUUUCUCGAUCUGCAUUUCCUCUAAUGUUGUUUAUUAUAUUUGUCUUUUAGAGAAAAUUUCAUCCUCUGGGCCUUCUUAAGUCUCUAGAGUUCUCUGUCCUGGAGCUUAAAACUGCAUUCAUCUUAGAGGGUUGUUUCCUCCCCCUCCCCCCCUUCAAAUGACAGUUGUUCUUCUCUAAUUUUAAAGUAGGGUGUUUUUUUUGUUUGUUUGUUUGUUUUUUUUAUGUUGUUAUCAUACUGAAUAACAGAAGAUUAGACUGUGCCACAGCUAAUUUCUGUUCAAUGUGCACAAUUGUAUUCAUGAGAAAACACACUGAGAAACUUCUGAAAAAAAAAAAGAGGGGUGGAAGGAAGUUUUUCUUGCUGAUGUUCUGGAAAGAAAUGUCCUGUUGUAGUGCUUCUUAUAUAUCUGACUGUCUUUAUGUGCAGAGGCAAGAACAGAGCUACUCUUACUUUUUAUCUGGGGCAUUUGUGAAGAAAGACAUGGUGGGGGGGAUUUCUUAACUUCAAGCCUUCAUUUUUAGUUGUCAACUGGGACAACUAAAUAUUAAUGCAUAAUAAAAUGAUGUUCUAAUUAUUAUGUUGAACUUUCACAUUUUUUGAAGAGUCUGUUCCAGCCCUUUCCCUUUUAAUCAGUACCCAACCUGUCACAGGAUACUGCUGUUUUCCCUCAAGGAUGACAUGCUUCAUUUUAUAAAGGAGGUGUUUUUAGAAAAUGUGUCUUUCAGACCUUAGCAGUCCUGACCUCCAGUUCUCAGAUCCCUUGUGUAUUCCUGUCUAAAUGUACUACAUUCCGUAUUAUUGGGAAUUUUUAUCCUGUGAGCAAUGCCUGUGUUAAAAUGCAUGAUCUCAUAAGAAAGUAAAUGACAAUUAAGUUUAGUUCAAGUCAAUUGCAAAUCUUAUCCUGAUGGGUUUGCAGAUGCUAAAGCAGAGGUCAUUCUAUGUUUGGGAACACGGACUAGGAAUUAAAUGCUAGCAUUCAUAAAAAUGCUUGAAAGUGGUUUCAUAUUAAAUACUUAUCAGUUCAUAUGCUAUACUCUAUCAGAAUAAGUGUUGUAUAAAAAACAGUCACAGACAUUAAAUAUUUGCUAUUUAAUGCAGAG
rnacentral:lncRNA from 1 species